rnacentral:rRNA from 1 species
UACGAGGGGGGCAAGCGUUGUUCGGAAUUAUUGGGCGUAAAGGGCGCGUAGGCGGUUUGACAAGUCUGAUGUGAAAUCUCUGGGCUCAACCCAGAGUCUGCAUUAGAAACUGUCGGGCUUGAGUAUGGGAGAGGUGAGUGGAAUUUCCGGUGUAGCGGUGAAAUGCGUAGAUAUCGGAAGGAACACCUGUGGCGAAAGCGGCUCACUGGACCAUAACUGACGCUGAGGCGCGAAAGCUAGGGG